AUGCGGCAGCUUCGGCUCAUCACCAACAUGAGGGCUGGUAAUGACACGUGGUUUGCAGAUUACUUGCUCAGGGUCGGUAAUGGCACUGAGGAAGCCGACGACCAAGGCAACAUACUACUCCCUAAUGAUAUUUGUCUGCCAUCUACAGGCGAGGUUGACGACCUGGAGAAGCUAAUUGACCACGUGUUUCCAAGUCUAGGUGACAACAUGGCAGAUUCGAGUUACAUGACAUCUCGCGCAAUCCUUUCCACGACAAAUGACAACAUCGACAAGAUAAACAUCCGCAUGAUAGAG
rnacentral:rRNA from 1 species